rnacentral:tRNA from 1 species
GGGAAGUUCGCAUAAUGGUAGUGCCCCCGGCUGUAACCCGGCAGGAACGUAAAGUUUGGAGGUUCGAGUCCUUCACUUCCCA